GCCAGAAGAAAUGCAAGAAAGCACUCGCUCAAGGAGCCUGUGCUACAUCCAAGUUGUGUAAUGGGUGUCUCCUAAAAUUAAAAAUAGUGGUUGACCCAAGAGCCAGGAAACGCUUUUCCAAGUUUCAGUCAUUUUCCCAGAGGAAAACAGAGGGGACAGAAAGAUCCACUCAUGCCCCAUAACUUCCCUGCCUGCUGCCAACUUCCUUGUCAUGGAUGUGAAAAGGCCAUCACUGGAAGAUGGUUGAGAUGUUCAUUCCAAGAACUGACAUCUCCCCUUGCCAGAUCCCUUCUGAAAACCCCUCCAAGGCCCGUCUGUUAGUCUGCAGACAGGAAUUUGCACGUCCACAGUGACUAUAACAUUAAAUUUAUCUGUAUCUGCGGUCUUUCUCGAGGUGCCUGGUAAUCAACAGCUUUCUUCUCUCUCUUUGUCAAGCAAUUCCAGUGCAACAAUUAUCAUGAAUCAUCCAUUUUGUAUAUA